AACGAACGCUGGCGGCAGGCCUAACACAUGCAAGUCGAGCGAGCAUUUCGGUGCUAGCGGCGGACGGGUGAGUAACGCGUGGGAACGUGCCCUUUUCUGCGGAAUAGUCCUGGGAAACUGGGGGUAAUACCGCAUACGCCCUUUUGGGGAAAGAUUUAUCGGAGAAGGAUCGGCCCGCGUUGGAUUAGGUAGUUGGUGGGGUAAUGGCCCACCAAGCCGACGAUCCAUAGCUGGUUUGAGAGGAUGAUCAGCCACACUGGGACUGAGACACGGACCAGACUCCUACGGGAGGCAGCAGUGGGGAAUCUUAGACAAUGGGGGCAAACCUGAUCUAGCCAUGCCGCGUGAGUGAUGAAGGCCUUAGGGUUGUAAAGCUCUUUCAGCUGGGAAGAUAAUGACGGUACCAGCAGAAGAAGCCCCGGCUAACUCCGUG
rnacentral:rRNA from 1 species